GCAGGAUCGGGGACAAGUUCACAUUUCCUAGCACCAUGGAAAAAACAGGUUUUCCAAAAAGAAACGGGAAAAAACCUGCUUUCAGAACACCUGCGAUAAAGGGGAUUUGCCCCGAAUCCACCUCAGUUCAGGAAACCAGAAAAAGUCAACUACCUUGAUUUGUCAUUAUGUACAAACCAACUCACCCUGUUUGCUACAAAGGAAUCUGCAACUCCUUGACAAAAUAAAAGGAAACUGGUAGACUUUAAUGGCUUCUUAAAACAGAUGUGCGCAUUCAAGAAUCUGAAAAAAUUGUGAAAUAUUGUUCAUUUCCCCCCUACUUUCAGGUGGGAUUGCGUACUACUUCUCUUACUUCAAGCCAGAUCUUUUUUGAACUUCAGUUCCAAGGACUGCUCCCAGCCAGCCAGCAUGGCCCUGACAUGUUCACUGUGGUUCCUGAAAGGUCUCAUCCAAAAUAAUAAUAAUAAUA